rnacentral:rRNA from 1 species
GACGAACGCUGGCGGCGUGCUUAACACAUGCAAGUCGAACGGAAAGGCCCUGCUUUUGUGGGGUGCUCGAGUGGCGAACGGGUGAGUAACACGUGAGUAACCUGCCCUUGACUUUGGGAUAAAUUCAGGAAACUGGGGCUAAUACCGGAUAGGAGCUCCUGCUGCAUGGUGGGGGUUGGAAAGUUUCGGCGGUUGGGGAUAGACUCGCGGCUUAUCAGCUUGUUGGUGGGGUAGUGGCUUACCAAGGGUUUGACGGGUAGCCGGCCUGAGAGGGGGGCCGGCGUCAAGGGGCCUGAGGUAGGGAGCAGAAUCGAACGGUAGGCAGCGGGCGGGAACCUGGCGGAGUGGGGGGAAGCGUGAUGCGGCAACCCCGCGUGCGGGAUGCCGGGCUUCGGGUGGUGAACAGCUGUGGCCUGUGACGAGGCGUGCGUGACGGUAAUGGGUAAAGAAGCACCGGCUAACUACGUG